rnacentral:rRNA from 1 species
GGGUUGUGAGGUUAAGCGACUAAGCGUACACGGUGGAUGCCCUGGCAGUCAGAGGCGAUGAAGGACGUGCUAAUCUGCGAAAAGCGUCGGUAAGGUGAUAUGAACCGUUAUAACCGGCGAUGUCCGAAUGGGGAAACCCAGUGUGAUUCGUCACACUAUCGUUAACUGAAUACAUAGGUUAACGAGGCGAACCGGGGGAACUGAAACAUCUAAGUACCCCGAGGAAAAGAAAUCAACCGAGAUUCCCCCAGUAGCGGCGAGCGAACGGGGAGCAGCCCAGAGUCUGAAUCAGCUUGUGUGUUAGUGGAACGGUCUGGAAAGUCCGACGGUACAGGGUGAUAGUCCCGUACACCAAAAUGCACAGGCUGUGAACUCGAAGAGUAGGGCGGGACACGUGGUAUCCUGUCUGAAUAUGGGGACCAUCCUCCAAGGCUAAAUACUCCUGACUGACCGAUAGUGAACCAGUACCGUGAGGGAAAGGCGAAAAGAACCCCGGCGAGGGGAGUGAAAAGAACCUGAAACCGUGUACGUACAAGCAGUGGGAGCACCUUCGGGUGUGACUGCGUACCUUUGUAUAAUGGGUCAGCGACUUAUAUUCUGUAGCAAGGUUAACCGUAUAGGGAGCCGCAGGGAAACCGAGUCUUAACUGGGCGUUAAGUUGCAGGGUAUAGACCCGAAACCCGGUGAUCUAGCCAUGGGCAGGUUGAAGGUUGGGUAACACUAACUGGAGGACCGAACCGACUAAUGUUGAAAAAUUAGCGGAUGACUUGUGGCUGGGGGUGAAAGGCCAAUCAAACCGGGAGAUAGCUGGUUCUCCCGAAAGCUAUUUAGGUAGCGCCUCGUGAAUUCAUCUUCGGGGUAGAGCACUGUUUCGGCUAGGGGGUCAUCCCGACUUACCAACCCGAUGCAAACUACGAAUACCGAAGAAUGUUAUCACGGGAGACACACGGCGGGUGCUAACGUCCGUCGUGAAGAGGGAAACAACCCAGACCGCCAGCUAAGGUCCCAAAGUCAUGGUUAAGUGGGAAACGAUGUGGGAAGGCACAGACAGCCAGGAUGUUGGCUUAGAAGCAGCCAUCAUUUAAAGAAAGCGUAAUAGCUCACUGGUCGAGUCGGCCUGCGCGGAAGAUGUAACGGGGCUAAACCAUGCACCGAAGCUGCGGCAGCGACACUAUGUGUUGUUGGGUAGGGGAGCGUUCUGUAAGCCUGCGAAGGUGACCUGUGAGGGUUGCUGGAGGUAUCAGAAGUGCGAAUGCUGACAUAAGUAACGAUAAAGCGGGUGAAAAGCCCGCUCGCCGGAAGACCAAGGGUUCCUGUCCAACGUUAAUCGGGGCAGGGUGAGUCGACCCCUAAGGCGAGGCCGAAAGGCGUAGUCGAUGGGAAACAGGUUAAUAUUCCUGUACUUGGUGUUACUGCGAAGGGGGGACGGAGAAGGCUAUGUUAGCCGGGCGACGGUUGUCCCGGUUUAAGCAUGUAGGCUGAUUGUCCAGGCAAAUCCGGAUAAUCAAGGCUGAGGUGUGAUGACGAGGCACUACGGUGCUGAAGUAACAAAUGCCCUGCUUCCAGGAAAAGCCUCUAAGCAUCAGGUAACAUUAAAUCGUACCCCAAACCGACACAGGUGGUCAGGUAGAGAAUACCAAGGCGCUUGAGAGAACUCGGGUGAAGGAACUAGGCAAAAUGGUGCCGUAACUUCGGGAGAAGGCACGCUGGUGUGUAGGUGAAGUCCCUGCGGAUGGAGCUGAGACCAGUCGAAGAUACCAGCUGGCUGCAACUGUUUAUUAAAACACAGCACUGUGCAAACACGAAAGUGGACGUAUACGGUGUGACGCCUGCCCGGUGCCGGAAGGUUAAUUGAUGGGGUUAUCCGUAAGGAGAAGCUCUUGAUCGAAGCCCCGGUAAACGGCGGCCGUAACUAUAACGGUCCUAAGGUAGCGAAAUUCCUUGUCGGGUAAGUUCCGACCUGCACGAAUGGCGUAAUGAUGGCCCAGGCUGUCUCCACCCGAGACUCAGUGAAAUUGAACUCGCUGUGAAGAUGCAGUGUACCCGCGGCAAGACGGAAAGACCCCGUGAACCUUUACUAUAGCUUGACACUGAACAUUGAGCCUUGAUGUGUAGGAUAGGUGGGAGGCUUUGAAGCGUGGACGCCAGUCUGCGUGGAGCCAACCUUGAAAUACCACCCUUUAAUGUUUGAUGUUCUAACGUUGGCCCCUGACCGGGGUUGCGGACAGUGUCUGGUGGGUAGUUUGACUGGGGCGGUCUCCUCCCAAAGCGUAACGGAGGAGCACGAAGGUUAGCUAAUCCCUGGUCGGACAUCAGGAGGUUAGUGCAAUGGCAUAAGCUAGCUUGACUGCGAGCGUGACGGCGCGAGCAGGUGCGAAAGCAGGUCAUAGUGAUCCGGUGGUUCUGAAUGGAAGGGCCAUCGCUCAACGGAUAAAAGGUACUCCGGGGAUAACAGGCUGAUACCGCCCAAGAGUUCAUAUCGACGGCGGUGUUUGGCACCUCGAUGUCGGCUCAUCACAUCCCGGGCUGAAGUAGGUCCCAAGGGUAUGGCUGUUCGCCAUUUAAAGUGGUACGCGAGCUGGGUUUAGAACGUCGUGAGACAGUUCGGUCCCUAUCUGCCGUGGGCGCUGGAGAAUUGAGGGGGGCUGCUCCUAGUACGAGAGGACCGGAGUGGACGCAUCACUGGUGUUCGGGUUGUCAUGCCAAUGGCACUGCCCGGUAGCUAAAUGCGGAAGAGAUAAGUGCUGAAAGCAUCUAAGCACGAAACUUGCCCCGAGAUGAGUUCUCCCUGAGACUUUAAGUCUCCUGAAGGAACGUUGAAGACGACGACGUUGAUAGGCCGGGUGUGUAAGCGCAGCGAUGCGUUGAGCUAACCGGUACUAAUGAACCGUGAGGCUUAACCUUACAACGCCGAAG